ensembl:lncRNA
CUAGCAGAUAAGAGGCGUUCAGAAGUGGCGCAGCCCCCGCUCUGAUAGCGCGAGGUGUCACCAAUGAAAGGCAGCGUCCCCGCUGAAUACGCUCGCGUGGAUGAAAGUCAAAAUAAGCAAGCUGAGAAGUACAUGAAAUAACGCCGCCACUAACUCCACAAACCGGAUGUGCCAGUUCUACGCCAAAGCCUCGCAAGAGUUUAAACCCCAAAAUGAAACUGAAACUGAAGUUUUUUGGGACUGGAUUGAGAUUGGAAGAUUUGAUCCAUGAAGAGCAACAACACGUCCUCCUCCCCCUGCCUUUGAAGGCGUAAACCCAACCGUGACAGGCAGCUGCUAAGAGGCCUUUCUGACCCACCGCUGAACACGGCCGGAUCUUCAGCAGCGAAGGUUCCAGUUAACCACGGACUCCUCUCUCCAUGUCGACUGAUUGCAUCAUCGGCUCGCCGCUGGCGUGAAAGUGGCUGAGUGAGAAAGUACAGGAUGUCUUUAUUGCUGUGGAGAGGGAAACCUUCUCCAACCGUCUCCACCUGCACUUAUCACUCGCUGAGCAGGCCUUCUAAACCUGCCUUCCACUGACCUAAAGAAGGAGGAAUGUCUCGGAACCAUCAGCAGAUCAUUUUCCUCACCGGCCAACCUCACGCGCCUUUCUUAAUUUGAUUGGCAUGUUCUAUUUAUUACCAUGCAACUGGGAUUUUAUCCGCUAUUUGCUUCCAGAUCAGCCUAUACGGAGAGGGAAGAGAGGCUCCCCUGUGGUAGUGGUGAUGUCACCAGUGCAGAGUAAAUACCCAAAGUGCAUCAUGUUAAAGUGGAAGAAAUGGAAAGGAUGUUUGUUUGGUGUGAAGAGGCGCGACGCUCAAACCGGCCACUCAUCAGGAGAAACUAGACUUACAAAUCUGCUCACAAAAAAACACUAAAAGCCAACUUUGGUUUUGAAGGCCAGUUAGGUGUACUUUUUUAGAGUGCUGAUUAUUUUUAAUGACACAAAUCACGGGGUGACAUUUUCAGAUAUGUCAUUUUUUUAAAUUUCAAUCACAACCUCUCUUUGGGGUUGACUGAUGAAUCACAGCAACCUUUUCUCCCUCCGAAUUCAUUUGUAUCUCUUUGGAGUAAGAGCCUUGCUGCAGCUGUCUGUGCCGUGUG